ACAAUAUGAAGGAUUUCAGCUGUAACUCUUUUGGAAAAAGGAGAGGAGUGAGGCACGUUGGGGACUUCAUGAAGGUGGGUAAUAUUUUAUUAAGGAACAAAGAAAACUGGACUAGAUAUUCUCUCUGGCAGGAUGAAGAAGGCGGACAACUCUGAGCAAUUUCGAGUUGAUUUUCAGUCAUGAAAGUAAAUGUUUUUGUAACUAGAUUUUUGAAAGACAAUUUUAUAAGAACGUAUACAUGAUGGUAUAGUAGAACAGACUGCUGGAAUUUGACAACAAAUCCUUUGGAUUUCAAGGGGGUUCAAGGCAAGAGAACUUAGUGCUAAACAAAAUAAUGAUUUUUUUUAUCACUACACAGUCUUUUCCUAAUCUCCCAGAUUACAACCCAGAGAGGUUUCGUUUUUGUUUUUUUUUCCUUUAUUUAUCAUUAGACCAGUAUUUCUUCUCUGCUUAAUUCCCUGUAUCUGAGAUGCCUUUUCACAUGGAUAGGAGUCUCAAACAAUUCAUUCUU